rnacentral:tRNA from 1 species
AGCCCCAUAGUGUAGCGGUCAAUUGAAAAUUUUAGACCAAUCAUAACGGAUUUUGGAUCCGUUGACGGCGGUUCGAAUCCGCCUGGGGCUA